UACGUAGGGGGCAAGCGUUGUCCGGAAUUACUGGGCGUAAAGCGCGCGUAGGCGGCUUUGCAAGUCGAUUGUGAAAUCCCCAGGCUUAACCUGGGAACUGCAUUCGAGACUGCAUAGCUAGAGUAUGGGAGAGGGAAGUGGAAUUUCAGGUGUAGCGGUGAAAUGCGUAGAUAUCUGAAGGAACAUCAGUGGCGAAAGCGACUUCCUGGACCAAUACUGACGCUCAUGUGCGAAAGCGUGGGGAGCAAACAGG
rnacentral:rRNA from 1 species